GAGCAAGAUGUGUGUGUGUGCAGUAGAUGAGGCGAGCAUAGAGAGAGCUGCUUUUCAUAAAACGGGACUUAAGUAGUAAACUUACAGGAACAUAUACCACUACCAACGUUUGGAUCGAUAUCUGCAUCGAUCUGCACACCCUUGUCUCCUGGAUCGUAGCUGAGAUCAGCGUGAACCACGUGGGUCUCUGCUCCCUGAUCUGUUUCCUGUGUUUAGAAGACUUCCAGCUUCGUUACGGAGUUUCUCUCGGUUUGUGGGCUCAUCUAAAGGGCACAGGUGAAGCAGCGGUUGCAAGAAAAACCGAAUGAAAGUAACUAAAUACAAUAAAAUGGAAAAAAAAAUGGCCUGGGGCGCACUGACAGAGGCGAGGCUGCCAGACACUGGCGCCACCAGACCCUCCCUCUGACCACCACCAGUAGGCAACGGGUGAAGUUUCUUGCCCAAGGACACAACGACCGAGACUAUCCAAGCCAGGGCUCGAACCAGCAACCUUCAGAUUACAAGACGAACUGCCAACUCUUGAGCCACGAUCGCCUCAUAAUAAAUCAAAAUGUGCUCAUAUACCUUGAGUCACAGGCUGAAAAGCUUCUGAUGAAGAAGCUGCUAAAGAUGAGGCUCCUAACACUGCAGAAUGCAAUGCAGUGUUAGAAUCGAUGAAAUGGCAGGUGACAGCUAGAACAAAAAAGAGGAAGCUGCCAGUUGUUUACAGGAGGAGAAGAGUCUGGUGGAGCAGCAGAUGAACAAUUUCAGCCAUUUGGACUCAGCUCAGCCACUACAGAGGAAACAAUGACUUCAACACAAAAGGACCAAUAUGGAGCAAGAAGUCAGCGCUCUCAGGA